rnacentral:lncRNA from 1 species
UCCAAGAUUUCUUAUAUUGAUAGUGGAAUUUAUCUCCUUGUGGCACUCUCUGCUCUUAGAAGCUGCCUUUGCCAGGAGAAGAAAGAAGACAACCAAAAGCAUUUAAAUAUAGAAGAACUCAACCCUUACAUAAGAUGUAAUCCCACCAGAACAAGUUUCACAGCUGUUGGCAAAAUGCCUGAAAUCACUGCAACAGGACUGACCAUUCAAAAAGGGAGGAAUUGCUUCCUGCAAGUGGCCAAGCUCUUUUAUGCAGCUUGUAGGUUUUCUA